UGUAGGAGUGAGCCUGCUCGCGAUAGCGGUAUGUCAGUCACACAUGAAUCAACUGACAGAUUGCUAUCGCGAGCAGGCUCACUCCUACA
rnacentral:misc_RNA from 2 species